AUGAUGGAGAAAGAAGGGUGAUCUCUAAUCGUCGAAGAUAUGUUACCUGACAUUUUUAGGACACUUCUGCAUUUUAUCUACACGGACUGCUUGGUGGAUUUCGAUCAAGAGGACAGAAGAGAGAUUGUACGGCACAUACUUGUGGCUGCCGAUCGCUACCGCAUUGAAAGGCUGAAGCUCAUAUGUGAGGCUGCUCUUUGCAGGACUCUUGAUACACAGACAGUGGCAACUACAUAUGCGCUAGCUGAUCAACAUCAGUGUAAUGAUCUUAAACAGGCAUGCCUCAAAUUUAUGGCAUCUCCAACAAUAUUUGGUGAAGUGUUGGCAAGCCAAGACUAUAACAACCUCAAGAGAAAGAGCCCUAGUACAACAUUAGAGAUUUUUGAGAACGUUUAUAAGUUCCCAAAGAUCUAG
rnacentral:rRNA from 1 species